rnacentral:rRNA from 1 species
AACGAACGCUGGCGGCAGGCUUAACACAUGCAAGUCGAACGAGCUGGGAACUUCGGUUCCCGAUGCUAGUGGCGCACGGGUGAGUAACACGUGGGAACGUACCCUUUAGUACGGAAUAACUCAGGGAAACUUGAGCUAAUACCGUAUGACUCCUUCGGGAGAAAGAUUUAUCGCUAAAGGAACGGCCCGCGUCUGAUUAGGUAGUUGGUGAGGUAACGGCUCACCAAGCCGACGAUCAGUAGCUGGUCUGAGAGGAUGAUCAGCCACACUGGGACUGAGACACGGCCCAGACUCCUACGGGAGGCAGCAGUGGGGAAUAUUGGACAAUGGGGGCAACCCUGAUCCAGCCAUGCCGCGUGAGUGAAGAAGGCCUCGGUUGUAAG